rnacentral:rRNA from 1 species
UACGGAGGGAGCGAACGUUGUUCGGAUUUACUGGGCGUAAAGGGUGCGUAGGCGGUCCUGCAAGUCAGAGGUGAAAUACCCCGGCUCAACCGGGGACCUGCCCUUGAAACUGCAGGACUUGAGGACGUGAGAGGAGACUGGAAUUCCUAGUGUAGCGGUGAAAUGCAUAGAUAUUAGGAAGAACACCAGUGGCGAAGGCGAGUCUCUGGCACGUUCCUGACGCUGAGGCACGAAAGCUAGGGGAGCGAACAGGAUUAGAUACCCCCGUA